AACGACACCGUUGCUCAUACCUGUACCGGACCGGACUGGAGUUUUUGAGGGCUUUAUACAACGUGCAACACAUAGAGAUGUCAGAAGCAUAAAUGACAUGAUGGCUAGGACAUAUACUGUAGCUGGGGGAGAUGGGAAAUGGUUGUCCAGAGCCCAGAUGUGCAAAAAUUAAAGAAAGAUGGCCUGCCCAGAUAAAUGAAGAAUUCCAAAGGUGUACUGGUGUUCCACAAGAAUCGGUUUUUAUGUCCCAGCUGGACAAAUACACUCCAAAACUUCUUGACCUGUUUAGUGCGAAGGGUGCAGCGACUGGUGAAAACAUCAAUUGGAGUUAUUGGAACUGAUACAGGAUUCAAGUACAUCUGUGGUGAGGAAGAGAGACGUGGCUCUGAGAUGCCUCAUCGAAUACAUGGGAGAGAGUGGGCAAAAGCUGAUCUCUGACUACUAUGGAAAAACAGAGAGCAGUGUCUAUGAAGACUUGAAAAUGCGCAAUAUGCAGAUAUAUGUCUGCCGUGUUCCAGAUGUGGUGGGCAUCAUCAUUGAGGGCAUCCCUGUGCUUACUCGUCUUGGAAACCACGCCAGGGCUAUGAACUUGCAGUUUUCACCACAACUCAGCAAAACAUUUCAGGUGUUUCAAAGACAUUUUGUGGGACUUGACACACAGCGUCCAAAGUCUUCCUCCUGAUUCAUGACAUAAAAACUUCUGAGUUAGUUAAUUAGUUGCCGCUCAGAGGUUCUGUUUCUUUGCUUCAUCACUUUUGUUCAAUGGACAGUUUGACUUGGAACAAUGUGGUAGUCACGCACCGACUUCUUCAGUUUCUGGAUAAGUCUGCAGCAAAUAUGGGCAUUUGAUUUGCUUUUGUAUAUAUGGGGCAAAGUUUGUUUUGUUAUGUCAAAUGCUGAGAUCAGAGGCACUUUAUUUUUUUUAUUUCAAUGUUGUAGUACAUAUGAAAAUGUACUGUACUGUGCACUUAAGCUAGUCUGUUUAUGUAAAUUGCUCAGAUCAAGAUUCACUGUAUUUUAUUGUUAGUGUACAGAUUGCAUUUAAAGGUCUUCUAUGCUGCGCUUAAAGAUGAGGUUAGAAGUUUCUGUAAUUUUUAAUGUUAAUGUUUACAACAUUAACAAUAAAAUUGAUUAUAGAAACUUUUGAUUAUAAAUUGAUAAUAAGUGCACCCAGUUGUUUGUGUAUGGCAAAUGUUAGAGUAAUAAACAUUUGACAAAUA
rnacentral:lncRNA from 1 species